CGUCUCCUCCACCCUCCUCCUUUGGUGUGGAUUUAGGCCCGGACCCUCACGGCGUCCGGGCUUUUUUCU
rnacentral:ncRNA from 1 species